UGAGCCACCAGAAACGCAUGGCUGCAGCUGUGGGGACCACACAACAGCCCGGCGUACUCAAGGACAGGAUGGCCUGACACUUCCGGACCUGGGGCGAGACCGCUGACCCCUGACACGUGCGCGACAGCUAGCGGUGACUGUGGGUGGCCGUGGAGCGAUCUGAUAUGGUGGGCUCUGAGCCGAGGCACCCAGCCGAGCGUCGCGAGCUAGGCACUGAGUGUUGUCUCUUUGUUCUCUCUUGGCCUGUGCUCCUGUCCUUAGAAGACUCAGGAAACAUUUGGAGGCUCUUACAUCUCCAUGGAGUGAAAGCUGCUGCAAACCUUUGACUGUGAACCCUCUGUGCCUGCCGCCUUUCAUCCUUCAACAAAGACUCCUACGAAGGCAUUGUUUCUAUUUGGAGUGUGGAAAGGUCUGACUUGGAACUCAAAGCAGAAGUAGGGUGUGGCAGUCAUGUCUACAAUCCCAGGACUCAAGAGGCUGAGAC